rnacentral:rRNA from 1 species
GUCCGCAUGUUCACAUGAGUAAAGGUAUUCCGGUAGACGAUGGGGAUGCGUUCCAUUAGAUAGUAGGCGGGGUAACGGCCCACCUAGUCUUCGAUGGAUAGGGGUUCUGAGAGGAAGGUCCCCCACAUUGGAACUGAGACACGGUCCAAACUCCUACGGGAGGCAGCAGUGAGGAAUAUUGGUCAAUGGGCGAGAGCCUGGACCAGCCAAGUAGCGUGAAGGAUGACUGCCCUAUGGGUUGUAAACUUCUUUUAUAAAGGAAUAAAGUCGGGUAUGCAUACCCGUUUGCAUGUACUUUAUGAAUAAGGAUCGGCUAACUCCGUGCCAGCAGCCGCGGUAAUACGGAGGAUCCGAGCGUUAUCCGGAUUUAUUGGGUUUAAAGGGAGCGUAGAUGGAUGUUUAAGUCAGUUGUGAAAGUUUGCGGCUCAACCGUAAAAUUGCAGUUGAUACUGGAUAUCUUGAGUGCA